ACGAACGCUGGCGGCGCGCCUAACACAUGCAAGUCGAACGAGCGAGAGAGAGCUUGCUUUCUCGAGCGAGUGGCGAACGGGUGAGUAACGCGUGAGGAACCUGCCUCAAAGAGGGGGACAACAGUUGGAAACGACUGCUAAUACCGCAUAAGCCCACGGCCCGGCAUCGAGCAGAGGGAAAAGGAGCAAUCCGCUUUGGGAUGGCCUCGCGUCCGAUUAGCUAGUUGGUGAGGUAACGGCCCACCAAGGCGACGAUCGGUAGCCGGACUGAGAGGUUGAACGGCCACAUUGGGACUGAGACACGGCCCAGACUCCUACGGGAGGCAGCAGUGGGGAAUAUUGCACAAUGGGGGAAACCCUGAUGCAGCGACGCCGCGUGGAGGAAGAAGGUCUUCGGAUUGUAAACUCCUGUUGUUGAGGAAGAUAAUGACGGUACUCAACAAGGAAGUGACGGCUAACUACGUGCCAGCCGCCGCAGUAA
rnacentral:rRNA from 1 species